rnacentral:misc_RNA from 1 species
GAUGAAGAACGUAGCGAAAUGCGAUAAGUAAUGUGAAUUGCAGAAUUCAGUGAAUCAUCGAAUCUUUGAACGCACAUUGCGCCCGCUAGUAUUCUGGCGGGCAUGCCUGUCCGAGCGUCAUUUCAACCCUCAAGCCCCCGGGCUUGGUGUUGGGGAUCGGCGAGCCUCCGCGCCCGCCGUCCCCUAAAUCUAGUGGCGGUCUCGCUGUAGCUUCCUCUGCGUAGUAGCACACCUCGCACUGGGAAACAGCGCGGCCACGCCGUUAAACCCCCAACUUCUGAACGUUUGACCUCGGAUCAGGUAGGAAUACCCGCUGAAAUUAAGCAUAUCAAUAAGCGGAGGA